GCUUUUCACUUCCAAUGAAGACUGACUCUCCUAGGGAAAGAAUAGGAAUAUCUACAGUUCACUAAAUGUAGUCCACAGAUUUCAUUGCAUGACUGAAAGAGAAGCAUGGUUGUGUCUCCUGUUUAAACUUUGUGAAAAAAUCUGGCAUGUGCAGGGAUUGGCCACCUUGCUCAAGGCAUCUCACUGAUUGUCUGUAAUCAAGUUUACUACAUGCUGGUGCUGUGGUGGAGCUGAAACCAACAUCUGACUGUAGUCCUGAAAUCCCACUCACCCACAUCCUGGUUUUGAAGCAGUGGCUUUCUGUGAUUUCUUGGAAGCUUACUAGAGGUUGGUUAAUGAGAAGGAGGUGAUGGCAGUUAAGCUUCCUUAAAAUAUAGUUUCCCUAUCACCAGUGAUCUUCUCUUGCAACCUGUAGUUGCAGGAGUGGUGCUCAUAAUUUAAGAAGUGUUCAUAAAGGGCAGCAGUGAGGCCAAAUAGGCUUGGUAAUCAGCUGACUGCAUCCUAGACCAUGCUCCACGUUACUGAGCAGUGCACAGGAGCCUGCAGCAAAUCAUUCAAUGUUGAAUGAGUUGCUCCUAGCCUGAGAACCACUGUUCUAAAACGAAUUAUUUCUGCCUAAUUUGCACUGAUUUGGACCUAGCUGAACAAAUAAAAUAUAAGCAUGUUGGUAUCUAAAUGACAUCUGAAAUUAAGAAAUGAAUUAUAUACGUAUAUGAAAAUGUGUUUGAAUGAUUUCAUCUUAAAAGUCUUGGCACUGAAGCAAUAUUUCAGAAAUGUCUGUCACAAAACAGUUACAAGUACCUUGGUCUUUGUUUUUAACUUGUAUAUUAUCUAGUGCAAUAUUAGGUAACUAAAACAACAACAACAACAACAGAGAGUAACAGUCAUGUGGGUAUUUUCAAACCAUCCAAUACUCCUCCAUUGCACCAUCAGCAAAGACAUGCAUGCCCAAAGUAAGCACCUAUUUCUCUUUUGUUCUUGAACAAGAGCACAAUAUUGCCAACAAAUGCAUCUUGCACACAGUGGAUAAAAAUCAAAGAUUUUUUAAAAAAUGUGGGUUUUUAAAA